UCGUUACGUAUUAUUAUGUUGUCUGAAUAUGAGGUGUAUGGAGGUGUCAGGGUUGGCGACGGAAGGGACGGGUUGUGUGAUGGACCUGCCGGGACUUGGGGGCGGGGCAAGGGGCGUGGCCUGGCGCGUGACGGAGGGAGGGAGGGAGGAGGGGGGAGAGCCGGGGAAGGGAACAGCCAAGAUGGCGGCCGGGCUGAGGCGAGCGAAGCGCCGCUGAGGAGAACGCCGUUUGCCGAUUUGGGCGCCGAAGCCAAACAACCAGAAAGCGAGGGCACGGUCCCCAAGCGGAAGCGCAUCUCCGAAGGGAACCCCCUCUCGUCCUCCUCGUCCUCUUCCCACCUGGAGACCACGUCAAACAACAACCAGUUUUCCCUGAUGCAGUGGCCCAUGUACAUGCUGGACUACGGCGGCCUCAAUGUUCCGGUUCCGGGAGCCAUGAAUUAUUCGGACCUCAGUUUCUGAACCAGGACCUCCGAACAAAACAAAACAAAACAAAUAAUGAACGGCGUGUAAUUUUCGUUUGUACAAAGUGUAUAUUAUUCCAAUAUGUAUUGAUGCCUUUUUAGUUUUUCCAAUAAUUUUUACACUAUAUUCCUGCCGCCAGAGCCUUUUUAAAUAAAAAAGAAUAAGAAGGGUUGCCUUGCUCUGAAAAAUCAAA